rnacentral:lncRNA from 1 species
GCCGUGCCACACAUCCGCCUGUUUACCAUCGCACCCAUUGGGUACGAUGGUAGCCGUGCCACACAUCCGCCUGUUUACCAUCGCACCCAUUGGGUACGAUGGUAGCCGUGCAACACAUCCGCCUGUUUACCAUCGCACCCAUUGGGUACGAUGGUAGCCGUGCCACACAUCCGCCUUUUUACCAUCGCACCCAUUGGAUACGAUGGUAGCCGUGCCACACAUCCGCCUGUUUACCAUCGCACCCAUUGGGUGCGAUGGUAGCCGUGCCACACAUCCGCCUAUUUACCAUCGCACCCAUUGGGUGCGAUGGUAGCCGCGCCACACAUCCGCCUUUUUACCAUCGCACCCAUUGGGUACGAUGGUAGCCGUGCCACACAUCCGCCUGUUUACCAUCGCCGCCUUUUUACCAUCGCACCCAUUGGGUACGAUGGUAGCCGUGCCACACAUCCGCCUGUUUACCAUCGCACCCAUUGGGUACGAUGGUAGCCGCGCCACACAUCCGCCUUUUUACCAUCGCACCCAUUGGGUACGAUGGUAGCCGUGCCACACAUCCGCCUGUUUACCAUCGCCGCCUGUUUACCAUCGCACCCAUUGGGUACGAUGGUAGCCGUGCCACACAUCUGCUUUUUUACCAUCGCACCCAUUGGGUACGAUGGUAGCCGCGCCACACAUCCGCCUUUUUACCAUCUCACCCAUUGGGUACGAUGGUAGCCGUGCCACACAUCCGCCUGUUUACCAUUGCUGCCUGUUUACCAUCGCACCCAUUGGGUACGAUGGUAGCCGUGCCACACAUCCGCCUGUUUACCAUCGCACCCAUUGGGUACGAUGGUAGCCGCGCCACACAUCCGCCUGUUUACCAUCGCACCCAUUGGGUGCGAUGGUAGCCGUGCCACACAUCCGCCUGUUUACCAUCGCCGCCUGUUUACCAUCGCACCCAUUGGGUACGAUGGUAGCCGCGCCACACAUCCGCCUUUUUACCAUCGCACCCAUUGGGUACGAUGGUAGCCGUGCCACACAUCCGCCUGUUUACCAUCGCCGCCUGUUUACCAUCGCACCCAUUGGGUACGAUGGUAGCCGUGN